rnacentral:rRNA from 1 species
UACGGUAGGGGCAAGCGUUGUCCGGAUUUAUUGGGCGUAAAGAGCGUGUAGGCGGCCAUACAGGUCCGUUGUGAAACUGGAGGCUUAACCUCCAGACGUCGAUGGAAACCGUAUGGCUAGAGUCCGGAAGAGGAGAGUGGAAUUCCUGGUGUAGCGGUGAAAUGCGCAGAUAUCAGGAGGAACACCAGCGGCGAAGGCGGCGCUCUGGGCCGGAACUGACGCUGAGGAGCGAAAGCGUGGGUAGCAAACAGG